AACCUUUGCUCUCAAAAUGAGCUUUAAUAUUUGGGGAGUAGCUGUUACACUACUCCAGAAAAGAAUAUUUGAAGCUAAUUUUAAGCUUCUAAGGAUAUGUUAAUUGGCUAAGUACCUCACCCUACCAGAGGACUUAGGUCUUUGUUAUGCACAUUGGAGAUAAAGCUUCAGCUGUGUUAAUACAGAAUUGUAGACUAGAGUCAUGGAAGUCUUUUAAAAAGAAACCUGGUAAAACAUAUCUUAUUCCAAACAACAGUUAAUUGGUUAUUACAAAAUACUGAUAUUUGGCCUAUUACAUAUACAAAUUUUUCAGACAAAAUUGAUAAUUUUACUCUUUACAUGCUUUUGUACUUCCUGUAUAUUUGUGCAUACAACCCAUAGGAAAUGCGCUUAGUGUAUUUAUAGGUGGUUCAUCUAAUGAAAAGGCUACAUAUAUGAUUGGAUCACUUGUUUAUUCUCUUGAGUUUCCCCUGCUUCAACACAGAGUAUUAAAUUCUGUAGUUUAGCCACUGUUUUUAAAUCAAGCCUUCAAUUCAUAUACUGAUAGCCAAUGUGUGGCUUGUGGUUUACAAUUGAUUUCAAUUACUUAAUGCUUUAUUAGAGACAGGUUUUCUACUUAAAAUCAGUGAGUGAUUUCAGUGUAAAUUGUCUGACAACUCACUGUCCUUUCAGUGCUCUGGCUCAGACAACCAAUUUAAACCUUAGGCUCAUACCUAACUUUGAAAAUUGUAAUAAGAGUUGAUAUGAAAAAAAGAAGACUCCAUUUGCUUACAUUAAAUUCUCAGCCCCACCCUGCCAGGUCAGGGAUUUCUAGUACAACUAAAUCUGGACAAUAUUUACAAGAUCUGACAUUUCUAAUUAAUGCUUAUGUUUAGGUAAAUAAAGUUUGUGAGGUGCUGGAGAGAUGGCUUAGUGGUUAAGAGCACUAAAUACUGUUCCUUAAUAGACCAUUUAAGAACUCAAACUGGAUUGCCUGGGCUCCUUAACAAGGGAGGACAAUGAUACCAGACAGAUUGUAGGCCUUACAUAGGAACAAUUAGUCAAAAAACCUCAUUCUUUAUAUAUCCAAAACAAUAAUGCUGGAGACAAUAAUUUGAUAUAAAAGUCAAUUUAUAAAUACAAGUGCUCAGUGUCCUCAAUUUAAUCCUCGAGGACUUACCUUAAAAUAAUAUCUUUACUAUAUCUUAAUAAAUAAAAAGGGGGAGUUAUCCCUGUACGCUAAAUAAUGCUCCUUUUAUUUCAAUUUUAAAAUUUGGAUGCCAAAGUUUAUGGCACCCUACAACUAGGCAUACUUCUGCCUAGGUGAAAUAGAGAGAUCCACAUAUUGACAUGAUCCUGUCCAGAUAUUUUAUAUGGGGAAGAAGGAAUGUUUGUGUUUUUUCUACAGGAUGCUACAAGAGUGUGCCAGCUGCCUGAGUGGUUGCUGAGACUUGCUGAUCCUGGUUACAUGAAGAUUCAGCUCUCCUGGUUCGGGUCCCUGGAGUCAUUCCUCUGCCCUGAGAGGAAGAUAGAAGAUUCCCCUUCACCUUUUGUCAUCACAGAGAUUUUGCCGUUGCUGCAGUCAGUGUUACCGCUACGUGUGUCCCGUCCCACUGUGGCCCGCUCUCUGACCCUCUGUGGACUGCUGCUUGCUGGAGAAGACUGGACUCCAGCCGUUGCUGCCUCCCUCAUUUCCCUGGUGACUCUUGCUGCCUUAACUGGUCAUUUUACAGACUGUAGCUUUACAGGAAUGCUACCUGUGUAAAGCUGCUGUGGACUGGGGAACUCUGCCCUGGUUGUACAGAUCUCAGAAAUGGUUCCAUUGUCUGCUGGUUGUUCCAGAGAAAAAUGACUGAUCCUGAACUGUCCUGGAAAAGACCUUGACACUUUCGCUGCUAUUGUAGCAGCCAUUACUGCUGCAGACAUUGUGUCUGCAGUGUCUGGAGUUAUCCUCCCCCAAUCUAUUGUUAGACAAGCACAGUGGGUAAACUUUCUGGAGUAGUUACUAACAAUUGGAAAUUCUAAAUUCUAUUAUAGGAGUGGCUUGACUACGGCCCUUGGUGGUAACAGCUGAGGUGAACCAGAUGAGGUGCCCACUACUUAUCGGGAGUGGUUCUGUUUGGUGCAGCCCUAUGCUGUGGAUUAGUGUUCAUACUAUGGUUGGUUUGCAAACUCAGAUCUCAACAGAAAUGUGACAAGGCUGUUAUCACUCAAGCACUUGUGGCCAUUGUACAAGGGGCCUCCCCUGGAAUUUGGUUAUCUAUGCUCAGGAAUUAGUCGGUAUCUGAGUUCUCUGCUCUUACACCCCAUGGAUCUGUGGAUCCAUUGCACUGGGAUGAGAGAGACUCAAUGAUCCUUUGAUCAGCCCUUCCACAUCGCUGAGGUUUCCUCAUGGCACACGAUAGGGUGAUCACGACUGUUAUAAAAUAAUAUAAAAUAAAUCAGGACUGUUAUAAAAUAAAUAAAUAGGGGGAGAUGUAGAGGGCCGCAAUAACAUUCGCCACCACUAGAUGGUGAUGGCUUCCACUGCGCCCCAUGUGGAAGGCCGAGCUAGACAAGAUGGCGCUGGCCUCCACGGCGCCAGUCGACUUCCUUUCAGGAAGUUAACUGUGUGUGCAUGUGCAAGAGUGCCUUCCUGCCAGGUCUUUGCCCAUUCCGGGGCGUGCCUUAUGAGAUCAUGGGUAAGUGACCAAUCAGGUGUGGAUGCGUCGCGCUAGGGUGUAUAUAGCUGCGCCAUGCGGGUGCGCGGGGGCUUCUCCUUAAGAUAUUAAUAAAGUUUGGUCGCAGUUAGGAUUCCUAUGUCCACGCGUCUUUUCUUGCUGGCGAGAGGGAGCGCGAGGGACAUCUAUUGACAGUGUCCUUUGCCUUACAGAAGCUGUUUAUUUUCCUGUUGUGCUUGUGGCCUGGCAUGGCAAUCCACUGAGAGGCUCAACCACAGUUGGCUGAGACAUGCAGAUACUUCCAGCCAACCAUUGGAUGGAAGUUUCGUACUCCUAUGAAAGACUGAGGAAAGUAUUGAAGGAGCUGAAGAGGAUGAGAAUCUCACAGAUGCUGUGAAGACUUAAAGCCUCCCUGCCUUAGGGGUGUGUGUGUGUGUGUGUGAGAGAGAGUGUGUGUGUGAGAGAGAGAGAGAAAGAGAGAGAGAGAGAAAGAGAGAAAGAGAGAAAGAGAGAGAGAGAGAGAGAGAGAGAGAGAGAGAGAGAGAGAGAGACCGAGCGAGCUGUCUUUCAUAGUUUAAUAAAAUUUCCCUCAAUCUUU